rnacentral:rRNA from 1 species
AGUGAACGCUGGCGGUAGGCCUAACACAUGCAAGUCGAACGGCAGCACAGUAAGAGCUUGCUCUUACGGGUGGCGAGUGGCGGACGGGUGAGGAAUACAUCGGAAUCUACUUUUUCGUGGGGGAUAACGUAGGGAAACUUACGCUAAUACCGCAUACGACCUACGGGUGAAAGCAGGGGAUCUUCGGACCUUGCGCGAUUGAAUGAGCCGAUGUCGGAUUAGCUAGUUGGCGGGGUAAAGGCCCACCAAGGCGACGAUCCGUAGCUGGUCUGAGAGGAUGAUCAGCCACACUGGAACUGAGGCACGGUCCAGACUCAUACGGGAGGCAGCAGUGGGGAAUAUUGGACAAUGGGCGCAAGCCUGAUCCAGCCAUACCGCGUGGGUGAAGAAGGCCUUCGGGUUGUAAAGCCCUUUUGUUGGGAAAGAAAAGCAGCAGGUUAAUACCCCGCUGUUCUGACGGUACCCAAAGAAUAAGCACCGGCUAACUUCGUG